CCCACCCUGGCCCCAUUUCACAGACGAGGAAACAAAGGCCCAAAGACGAGUUCCGCCCGGGGCGGAACGUGGCAGAACUCGCAACAGAACCCAGUCUCCGGAGAUCCCUCUCCUCUGCACCACUUGGACAUUCCACGGAGAGGCAGCGGUGCGCGGGGCGACGGGGAGCUGCCAGAGAAGUCAGUGGUGGGCAUGAGUGGGUGAGACGGGCCCACUGAGGUUUCUGGCAGUGGUGAGCCAUGGAAGGUUUCUGAACAGAGAAGCACUUAUUGGGAGCUGUCAGAGUUGCGCUUCAGGAGAUGAAUCUGGCAACAACGUGGGUUAAUAUUAAUGCCCUGUACAUCCUGAGUACAUGUUUCCAGAAAGAGGUGAUCCGGGAGGCUGCCAAGUGGCCUGCAGGUGACAUCCAGAGGGUAGAAAAUGCCCAUGCAGGUCCACGUGUGGGUCCUUAAGCCGCUUGAGGAAAAGGGAGGAGAAAAGGACAAAGAAGGCUCUCCCCUUCCCUUGGAUCCCCUUCUGCUCCCACAUGCCUAGUGGGAGCCUCCCUCUUCUGCUUGAGCCUUCAAGACAGGUUCAGGACGCUGUCUCCUACCUGGCUGGGCCGGAAAUGAGGAACAGGUUGUAAGCCCUCCUCCACCUGACUUGCCAAGUCCAUACAGGCUGGGGCCUUAGAUCCAACAACUUAGAAAGGCACUGCCCAGAGAGAGAGAGAGAGAUGGAGACAGAGAGAAAGACACAGAGAGAGCAAGUAAGAAUGCGCAGGCAUGUGUGUGUAUCUUCACCACCAUUUCUGGGAAGCAGAGCUCAGUGGUGUUAGAGGCAACUGGGAAGACUGGAUAUGAAAUCAAGACAUCAGGAAUUGCCUUUCUUCUUCCUCCUCCCCACCUUUUCCUUCCCCUCCCAUUCGCUUUCUCUUUCAUCACCAUUGCCCUCACCUUCAUCUGAAUUAAAAGCCAUCUUCUCAGCA